rnacentral:rRNA from 1 species
UAACCAGACUCCUACGGGAGGCAGCAGUCGGGAAUAUUGCACAAUGGAGGAAACUCUGAUGCGGUGACACCGCGUAUAGGAAGAAGGUUUUCGGAUUGUAAACUAUUUUAGACAGGGAAGAAAAAAGACAGUACCUGUAGAAUAAGCUCCGGCUAACUACGUGCCAGCAGCCGCGGUAAUACGUAGGGAGCAAGCGUUAUCCGGAUUUAUUGGGUGUAAAGGGCGUGUAGGCGGGAGCGCAAGUCAGAUGUGAAAGCUCAGGGCUCAACCCUGAGCCUGCAUUUGAAACUGUGUUUCUUGAGUGCUGGAGAGGCAAUCGGAAUUCCGUGUGUAGCGGUGAAAUGCGUAGAUAUACGGAGGAACACCAGUGGCGAAGGCGGAUUGCUGGACAGUAACUGACGCUGAGGCGCGAAAGCGUGGGGAGCAAACAGGAUUAGAUCCCCUAGUA